rnacentral:rRNA from 1 species
UGGGGAAUAUUGCGCAAUGGGCGAAAGCCUGACGCAGCGACGCCGCGUGAGCGAUGAAGCCUUUCGGGGUGUAAAGCUCAGUCAAGAGGAAUGAUAAUGACAGUACCUCUAGAGGAAGUCACGGCAAAUUACGUGCCAGCAGCCGCGGUAAUACGUAAGUGGCAAGCGUUAUCCGGAUUUACUGGGCAUAAAGAGCACGUAGGUGGUGAUUUAAGUCAGAUGUAAAAUCUCACAGCUCAACUGUGAUCUGCAUUUGAUACUGAAUUGCUAGAGAUCAGGAGAGGGAAGCGGAACUCACGGUGUAGCGGUGAAAUGCGUAGAUAUCGUGAGGAACACCAGUGGCGAAGGCGGCUUCCUGGACUGAUUCUGACACUAAGGUGCGAAAGCGUGGGGAGCAAAC